CAAACUCCCCGGCAGUUCCAGUUCCGAUCCGCAUACGGGCCCGAAUACUACUCUACACUAAUCACUGCCUUCGGCUUUUUUCGUUACGCGCUCUUCAAGCGGUUUGACCCGGAUUGACCUUUUGUUGCUACUGAAGCAAAUAUGGCUGAACAUUGAUGAAUGAGGAUAAUUGUUAUUAACUUUACCAGUAUAUAUGAAUAAAAACACUAACCGUAAGUAAAAUGCACUCAAUCCAAAUAAUUUUACAAAAUAAAAAUUUGCAAAUUUCUGUAUCGUUAGGUCGAAGAAUUCAAUUCUGGCAUGAAAACUCGAUCGACUUUGUUGCAUUAUGCCAUAUAAAAAAAUCUUCGUCAAUGAAGAAACAUAAAAUAUGAUCUUCUCGUCUGUGAAGUUGAAAGAACACUUAAACGCUAUAGCUUUUGAUAUUAAAUUGGACAUACUUUUAAUAAACUGGCACCCAAUCAUCAGCUAAUAAACUCGUUUGAAGAACAGAAUACAAUGUUGGGAGAGUGGCUAAAUUUUACCCGAGAAGCUGCUCCAUGUGGAAUUAAAGAUAUUUUACAAAAGACAAAUUUGGACUCUAUAGGGAUAAAUUUAGGAUUUCCUGGGAAAGGGGUGCAAAUAAUGCCAAAUUGACACAUGGCUUCAAAUACAUUAUUUAAACGAACUUCAGUAAGGGCUGUAUUACAUGUAUAUUAUAUUAAGACUCUGUUUACUUACCAAUCUCCGAAUUUCUCAAAACUCAAUUUAGAUUUCAUGGAUAAAAAAAAUAAAACAAUCAUAAAUUAUUAUAAUUGAAAAAUAAUAUAGGGUAACACACACAUUACUAAAUUUGUUAUGCAAUUUGCUUUUAUUAUAUAUAUGUCACCAUGGUCAUGUAUGUAUUAAUUUACAAUAUUCUGGAUGGGAGCAUUUCCAUUUCGAUAUUACUAUAUUUUAUUGAAUUAUUAUCCAGUCAAUUUAUAGUCUAUACAAUAUAAUAAUAAUUACCCCCCCCCCCCCCCAAAAAAAAAAAAAAAAAAAAGUAAAAUCUUUAUAAUUUUGGUCCAAUUAUUCUGUAUUCUAUUUACCCUUUAAGAACCACAUUUAGGCCAAAUAAAUAAAUAUGUGUGUUUCCUAUUUCCCUCUGUACUAAACCCUAUAUGUUUUAAGCUUGGAAAUAGCUGCCUACCUUAAAGUUUUUUUUUGUAAUUUUUCAAUAAGCACUGUUUAAGUCAGAAUAUCUCUCCCUUAGACUCAAUGUAAAAAAAAAAUGUUGAAUUACAUAAAUUCCCUACCUACCUACCAUUUAUUUUCAAAGAUGUAAUAGGAAACACACACAGUAUUUUAUUUGGCCUUAGCCCUUAUAUAUACAAUGUACAUGUACUCUUAAUAAACCUUUUAUUCCUGCAAUAAAAAACACUUUUGACUAUAAUUCUAAGACGCCAGUAAUCAAUUCUAAUGUUUUUAUUUUUAUCUUACAGAUGGUGACAAAAAAGAUAACAGCACAGUGUUAAGAUUGAAUCAGAAUGAAUAAAACAAAAAGAUUAUAAUAGGUAUUGGUUUUUUUUUUAAAUAUUUUUAUUUGCAUGGAUUAAUUACUUUAUCAAUUUAUAAAAAAAAUACUAUUUAAUUAUCCUGCCUUGCAUGGAAUAAAAUGACAACUUACAUUGUUCUAAAAAAAAAUGUUUGUAAAUAAUGAGUAAAAUUAAUGCUCAAUAACAAUGUUUAAAAUGUUAACAUGAAAACUGAUUUUGAUUUGAAGCCAUAUUUUAUGAAAUUGAUUAAUGUAGACAAAUCUUUUUUAUAGUUACAAAUGUAGGUGACACUUAAACACUCAAUAUCUUUCUUUAAUUAGUAUAGUAGGAUGAUACAGAUUGAUGCCUGUGAAAGAAUUAUAAAAAAGGUUGCAUUCAGUUUUUUAUUGUCAAUAAUACUUCCCUCCCCCUAUUUUUCAAACUUUUUAUAUGUUAAAUAAUGCAGGUCCUUGCAUUUCAACAAUUUAUUUUUAGUUAUACUCAUUUUAUUAUUUCAUUAUUACUUUCAGCUCCCUCAACCAGAAGAACUAUGAACACAGUUAUUGAUUUCUAUGUUUCCUUGGAGAUUUUAACAGUUAUUGUUAAAACUUGAAAUCUAACAGAAUGAAAAUUUGAGAAAAUUUACAUAUACAGUGUACAUGUACAUGUAGCUUCAAUAUAAAUCAACUGAUACACCGUAAGUAUGUCUUCUAUAUAUGAAAGUUAUAAAUUGGUUUGUUUACAAAAUUUAUUUUUUACUAGAUAUAUUUGAGUAAAUACCGGACCAAAUUAUAUAUUAAAGCAAAUACUCACAAACGUUUUUUUUUUUUAAAUUACUAAUAUUUCCUAUAUGGUGAUAUAAAUUAUAUGAUCAAAUUGUGGAUACAACUACAUGGUUUAUGCUAUAAACUGUGAAUAUAAAAAAAGAGUAUGUUGUAUGAUUGCCAAUGAGAAAACUCUUCCAACAAGAGACCAAAUGACAGAAGUUAACAACUGUAGCCUAUAGUAGGUCAUAGUACAGUCUUAAACAAUGAGUAAAGCCCAUACCACUCAGAGAGCUAUAAAAUACACUGAAAUGACAAAUGUGAAACAAUUAAAACUAGAAAUUUGGCCUAAUUUAUCAUACAUGUAUGUACAAAAUAAUGAACGAAAAACAAAUAUGUGACACAUCAAACAACAACCACUGAAUUAAAGGCUCCUGAUUUGGGACAGACACAGACAUACAUAAUGUAUCGGGUUAAACAUGUUCGCUGGGACCCAACCCUCCCCUUACCUGGGACAGUGGUGUAAGAGUACAAAAUAAAAACAAACUAUAAAAAUUCAGUUGAAAAAGACUUAAAUCUUAACUCAUCAUGAGAUGGAUACAAGUAGAAAUAAAUAAAACCAAGAAAAAGGGGGCAUGGUCAGGUACUAUUACAUACAAACAACUGAAAGACACUUAGUAUAGAUCUAGAUUAUUUACUCUAAGCACACUCAAGCUUAAUAGGAGAUGUGAAAAAUACCCUAAAUCUGAUAGGUCCUGCAACUUUUGAAAGAGACUCCAAAAAAUUACUUAUAAAGGGAACUCAAUCUAAAUUUUGUGUUAAAAUUUCAUGAGAAAUUGUUCAAAGCAAAGGAGAAGGGCAUUAAAGGACUAUUUUUUGUCCAAGAAUAUAAACUAUUCCAAAAAGCCCCAUUAUGUUUGGAAUUGCAUAAAUUUAAGAAACAUGAAUUAAAAACAUAAUAUUUUUUAUACGACCGCAAAAAUUAAAAAAUUUUUGGUCGUAUAUUGGUAUCACGUUGGCGUCGUCGUCGUCGUCGUCGUCGUCCGAAUACUUUUAGUUUUCGCACUCUAACUUUAGUAAAAGUGAAUAGAAAUCUAUGAAAUUUUAACACAAGGUUUAUGAUCACAAAAGGAAGGUUGGGAUUGAUUUUGGGAGUUUUGGUCCCAACAUUUUAGGAAUUAGGGGCCAAAAAGGGCCCAAAUAAGCAUUUUCUUGGUUUUCGCACUAUAACUUUAGUUUAAGUAAAUAGAAAUCUAUGAAAUUUUGACACAAGGUUUAUGACCACAAAAGGAAGGUUGGGAUUGAUUUUGGGAGUUUUGGUUCCAACAGUUUAGGAAUUAGGGGCCAAAAAAGAGCCCAAAUAAGCAUUAUUCUUGGUUUUCGCACAAUAACUUUAGUAUAAGUAAAUAGAAAUCUAUGAAAUUUAAACACAAGGUUUAUGACCAUAAAAGGAAGGUUGGGUUUGAUUUUGGGAGUUUUGGUCCCAACAGUUUAGGAAUAAGGGGCCCAAAGGGUUCAAAAUUAAACUUUGUUUGAUUUCAUCAAAAAUUGAAUAAUUGGGGUUCUUUGAUAUGCCGAAUCUAACUGUGUAUGUAGAUUCUUAAUUUUUGGUCCCGUUUUCAAAUUGGUCUACAUUAAGGUCCAAAGGGUCCAAAAUUAAACUUAGUUUGAUUUAACAAAAAUUGAAUCCUUGGGGUUCUUUGAUAUGCUGAAUCUAAAAAUGUACAGUAUUCAGCAAUAGCAAGAAAUCUUCAAUUGCACAGUAUUGUGCAAUAGCAAGAAAUUUUUCAAUUGCACAGUAUUGCGCAAUAGCAAGAAAUCUUCAAUUGCACAGUAUUGUGCAAUAGCAAAUAUUUUCAAUUGCACAAUUAGCAAAGAAAUAUCUAAUUGCAAUUUCAAUUGGAGUUAUCUUUCUUUGUCCAGAAUAGUAGUUGAAUCAACUUAAAUCAUUGUUUUAUACAAUAUAUAUAAUUGAUAUUUCAAUUGGAGUUAUCUUUCUUUGUCCAGAAUAGUAGUUGAAUCAACUUAAAUCAUUGUUUUAUACAAUAUACAAUGUAUAUUCACUUUUACUACCAACUGAUAAAUUAAAACAAUCUUUACCAUUCAGUGAUAACAAGCACUUUAUUUUACAUUUUAAUAUUUUUAUGAUGUAUUUAAAUGAGUAGUUAUUGUUGCAAACUCCAUUAUUAGAAAUUUGAAUUGAGAUCAGUUUUGGAAAAAGGGAAAGGGGGAUGUGAAAAAAAAAAUGGGGGGGGGGGGGGGGGGUUAAAUUUUUCUCAUUUCAGAUUUCAUAAAUAAAAAGAAAAUUUCUUCAAACAUUUUUUUGAGAGGAUUAAUAUUCAACAGCAUAGUGAAUUGCUCAAAGGCAAAAAAAAUAUUUUAAGUUCAUUAGACCACAUUCAUUCUGUGUCAGAAACCUAUGCUGUGUCAACUAUCUAAUCACAAUCCAAAUUUAGAGCUGAAUCCAGCUUGAAUGUUGUGUCCAUACUUGCCCCAACCGUUCAGGGUUCAACCUCUGCGGUCGUAUAAAGCUGCGCCCUGCGGAGCAUCUGGUUGUCUGAUAAGGUCACAAUUACAUCAUGAAGACGAGGACAAAUAUAGAAUUUAUGCAGUUUCCAAAACAACAAAAUAAUUUAAGAAAACCUUUAUUAUAACUAUUGACAUAAUCUCACUAAAUAUAAUUUUUUUUCUUGGAUGGGCACAUUACAGUCUAAAAUAUAAUUUUAUUUGACAAAAAACAAAGAAAAUUAAGAAAUUUUACAAAUUUGGUCUAAGUUUAUUGCCAUGGUAACUCUUUAGUUGUAAAAAAAAACCCAUUAUUUUCUGAAUAUGGUGUACCUUAGUCUAGUUUGGACAAAUUUUGAAAUAUUUAGGAUAACUGUUAAAUUAGCAGUAAUAUCUGGGCCAAAUAAAAACCUUUUUUAGUUAGCCCCUACUACUUUGAGAUAUUGAACAAAGUGUUGCCAUAAUGAUUUUAAAGGAUGGAUGGACAAACAAUGGCAUACCAUAUACAUCCCUUACCUACCAGAAGUUACAAAGUUAUAAAAAAAAUGUUUAUAUAUUUUCAGAUCACAAUUAUGUCAACCUAAUCAUUGGAAGUUUAUCAAGUUACAUGAGAAGCAUUGAAAGCCUGCAGAGAUUCUACAUGUAUAAAUAAAUGGAAUAGACUCACACUUAAAAAUAACUUUUACACAAGACUAAUGCACUCUCAAACAAGGAUUAUUCAUGUUUCAAUGAGUGAAUUGAAGUGCAUACUAGCUGCUCAUGAAAAUUUGUGUGCAUUUUUUAAAUAUUUAUUUUCGUUUUAUUGAUUGUUGUUUUCAAAAAUUUGUAUGUCUUCAUAAAUUAAUCAUGAACAUACAUGUAUUGUUG
rnacentral:lncRNA from 1 species